CUUGUACUCAAUCAGCCAUGGGUAGAGGUGGUAAACAUGCCACGCAGGGCCCGAUAGGAAUCAUCCAGCCACACCUCAGUCUCAACUAGCGUCUCCAGUUCGCUUACCCAUUCCUCUGAGGGCUGGAUUCCCAAUAACGGCAUCCGCAGCUCUAGUUGUUCUGCUUGGCGCUGGUUAGUGGUCAGGAUUUCCUCGCACCGGAAGGGUCGAAUUUCGUCGAUGUCCUCCUUCCAGAGAUCGGUACGAAGUGCCACCCUCCACUCUGUCUCUCUUUCCUC